rnacentral:rRNA from 1 species
AUUGAACGCUGGCGGCAUGCCUUACACAUGCAAGUCGAACGGCAGCAUGGAAGAGCUUGCUCUUCUGAUGGCGAGUGGCGAACGGGUGAGUAAAGCAUCGGAACGUACCGUGUAGUGGGGGAUAACGUAGCGAAAGUUACGCUAAUACCGCAUACGCACUGAGGUGGAAAGCAGGGGAUCGCAAGACCUUGCGCUAUACGAGCGGCCGAUGUCAGAUUAGCUAGUUGGUAGGGUAAAGGCCUACCAAGGCGACGAUCUGUAGCGGGUCUGAGAGGAUGAUCCGCCACACUGGGACUGAGACACGGCCCAGACUCCUACGGGAGGCAGCAGUGGGGAAUUUUGGACAAUGGACGCAAGUCUGAUCCAGCCAUUCCGCGUGCAGGACGAAGGCCUUCGGGUUGUAAACUGCUUUUGUACAGAACGAAAAGGUCUCUAUUAAUACUAGGAGCUCAUGACGGUACUGUAAGAAUAAGCACCGGCUAACUACGUG